rnacentral:rRNA from 1 species
CACCGGCGGCUCGAGUGGUGGCCACUUUUAUUGGGUCUAAAGCGUCCGUAGCCGGCUUGGCAAGUCCCCUGGGAAAUCUGGCGGCUUAACCGUCAGGCGUCCAGAGGAUACUGCCAGGCUUGGGACCGGGAGAGGUGAGAGGUACCUCAGGGGUAGGGGUGAAAUCUUGUGAUCCCUGAGGGACCACCAGUGGCGAAGGCGUCUCACUAGAACGGGUCCGACGGUGAGGGACGAAAGCCAGGGGCGCGAACCGG